rnacentral:rRNA from 1 species
UGGGGAAUAUUGGACAAUGGGGGGAACCCUGAUCCAGCAAUGCCGCGUGUGUGAAGAUGGCCUGAGGGUUGUAAAGCACUUUCAGUGGGGAGGAGGCUUGUUAGGUUAAGAGCUAAAUAAGUGGACGUUACCCACAGAAGAAGCACCGGCUAACUCCGUGCCAGCAGCCGCGGUAAUACGGAGGGUGCAAGCGUUAAUCGGAAUUACUGGGCGUAAAGAGUGCGUAGGCGGUUUGGUAAGUUAUCUGUGAAAUCCCUGGGCUCAACCUGGGCAGGUCAGAUAAUACUGCUGAACUCGAGUAUGGGAGAGGGUAGUGGAAUUUCCGGUGUAGCGGUGAAAUGCGUAGAGAUCGGAAGGAACACCAGUGGCGAAGGCGGCUACCUGGCCUAAUACUGACACUGAGGCACGAAAGCGUGGGGAGCAAACA